rnacentral:rRNA from 1 species
CCUACGGGUGGCAGCAGUGGGGGAUAUUGCUCAAUGGGGGGAACCCUGAAGCAGCGACGCCGCGUGGGGGAAGAAGCUCCUCGGAGUGUAAAGCCCUGUUAGUAGGGAAGAAAAUGACGGUACCUGAAGAAGAAGCACCGGCUAACUACGUGCCAGCAGCCGCGGUAAUACGUGGGGGGCAAGCGUUAUCCGGAUUUACCGGGCGUAAAGGGGGCGGAGGCGGCGGAGCAAGUCAGGAGUGAAAGCCCGGGGCCCAACCCCGGGACUGCAUUUGAAACUGCGUGGCUGGAGUGCAGGAGGGGCAGGCGGAAUGCCUGGUGUAGCGGUGAAAUGCGUAGAGAUCAGGAGGAACACCGAUGGCGAAGGCGGCCUGCUGGACUGCAACUGACGUUGAGGCCCGAAAGCGUGGGGAGCAAACAGGAUUAGAUACCCUUGUAGUC